UCUAACAAGGACAGUGCUUGGAUGAGAACUCUGGUGGACUGAAAUAUUAAAUGAUGAUCAUUCCUAGCACUGGUAGAAACUGGCAAUUUUUUGUUGGAUAGUUACACUCAUGCUUCACAGCUCAGGGAUUCCAUGAGCUACUGAUGCCAGCUGGGCUUUGGAAUUAUUGUUAGGAUCUCACUCUCUUCUCUAGCAGAUGCAAGGCACAGCCACCAGACCUGCAGAAGGGCAUCUGAAAAGAUCAUUGGGUGAGACUGAAAUGCAUAUACCUACAUUCGUAGCAGAUACUUUGGUUUUGUGCAAGAAGCCUCAAGUAUAUGAUCUGAUUUUUUUUUUUGUUCCAUCUCCUUCAUUAUUUUGUCC